GCUAGGAGUCCCGAGUCCAGCUUAGGGGGAGUGGGGGCGCGACCCCCAACCCAGAAACCUUCACUUGACCGCUUAAGUUCGCGGCAGCAGGGCGGGCCGCGCCGAAUCUCGGCGUGCGCGGAGCGGGGAGAUGCAGGCGAGCGCCAGAGCCCGGGCUCGGGGGCCCUGCGCCGGGGAGAGGAGCCGGGACCCACCGGCGGAGCCGAAAACAAGUGUAUUCAUAUUCAAACAAACGGACCAAUUGCACCAGGCGCAGGAGGAAGUGUUUUGCUGGAGGAUGAUGACAGAGGUCAGGCUUCGCUAAUGGGCCAGUGAGGAGCGGUGGAGGCGAGGCCGGGCGCCGGCACACACACAUUAACACACUUGAGCCAUCACCAAUCAGCAUAGGAAUCUGAGAAUUGCUCUCACACACCAACCCAGCAACAUCCGUGGAGAAAACUCUCACCAGCAACUCCUUUAAAACACCGUCAUUUCAAACCAUUGUGGUCUUCAAGCAACAACAGCAGCACAAAAAACCCCAACCAAACAAAAC
rnacentral:sRNA from 1 species